rnacentral:lncRNA from 1 species
UUGGUGGGCAUCAGGAUGGGCAUGGUGGUGUUUGGGGUGGUGGGCAAGGGGUUGGUGGUCACCAGGAUGGGGUUGGUGGUCAUCAGGAUGGAGUUGGUGGGCAUCAGGAUGGGAUUGGUGGUCAAGGAGGUUGUGGGUGUAGGAAUGGUGGACACCAGGAUGGACGUGGUGGUCUUUGGGGUGGUGGUGGUGGUCAUCAGGAUGGGGUUGGUGGUCAGUGGGGUGGUGGUGGACAAAGGGUUGGUGGCCUUCAAGAUGGUGGGCGAGGGGUUGGUGGUCAAGGAGGUUGUGGGUGUAGGAAUGGUGGGCACCAGGAUGGACAUGGUGGUCACUCAGGUGUCCCCAUUGGUCACUCAGAUGUCCCUGUUGGUCACUGUGGUCACUCAGAUGUCCCUGAUGGUCACUGUGGUCACUCUGUUGGUCACUGUGGUCACUCAGAUGUCCCUGUUGGUCACUGUGGUCACUCAGAUGUCCCUGAUGGCCAUGAUGGUCACUGUGGUCACUGUGGUCACUCGCGGUCAGUGUCCAGCCCCGUGUCCGUGCUGCUGCAGGGCCGGGCUGUCUCUGGUGACCAUGAUGGUCACUCAGAUGUCCCUGUUGGUCACUGUGGUCACUCUCGGUCAGUGUCCGGCGCCGUGUCCGUGCUGCUGCAGGGCCGGGCUGUCCCUGGUGACCAUGAUGGUCACUCUGAUGGUCACUGUGGUCACUCUGUUGGUCACUCAGGUGUCCGGUCAGUGUCCAGCCCCGUGUCCGUGCUGCUGCAGGGCCGGGCUGUCCCUGGUGACCAUGAUGGUCACUCAGAUGUCCCUGUUGGUCACUGUGGUCACUCAGAUGUCCCUGAUGGUCACUCUGGUCACUCUGGUCACUGUGGUCACUCUCGGUCAGUGUCCAGCCCCGUGUCCGUGCUGCUGCAGGGCCGGGCUGUCCCUGGUGACCAUGAUGGUCACUCUGGUCACUGUGGUCACUCUGUUGGUCACUCAGG